UACGUAGGGUGCAAGCGUUGUCCGGAAUUAUUGGGCGUAAAGAGCUCGUAGGCGGCUAGGUAGGUCCGUUGUGAAAACUCGAGGCUCAACCUCGAGACGUCGAUGGAAACCAUCUAGCUAGAGUCCGGAAGAGGAGAGUGGAAUUCCUGGUGUAGCGGUGAAAUGCGCAGAUAUCAGGAGGAACACCAAUGGCGAAGGCAGCUCGCUGGGACGGUACUGACGCUGAGACGCGAAAGCGUGGGGAGCGAACAGG
rnacentral:rRNA from 1 species